GACGUAGGGGGCGAGCGUUGUCCGGAUUUAUUGGGCGUAAAGAGCGCGUAGGCGGCCCGGAAAGUCGGAUGUGAAAACCCGGGGCUCAACCCCGGAACUGCCCUUGAAACUGCAGUGCUAGAAUCUUGGAGAGGCGAGUGGAAUUCCGAGUGUAGAGGUGAAAUUCGUAGAUAUUCGGAAGAACACCAGUGGCGAAGGCGACUCGCUGGACAAGUAUUGACGCUGAGGUGCGAAAGCGUGGGGAGCAAACAGG
rnacentral:rRNA from 1 species